GCCCGGUUAGCUCAAUCGGUAGAGCGUGAGACUCUUAAUCUCAAGGUUGCGGGUAAGAAGAGAGACUUCCGCUCUUUCAUGGCUUGGUCUUAUGACUGACGAUCUAUCUAUAGGUUCGACCCCCGCAUCGGGCU